rnacentral:rRNA from 1 species
AUUGAACGCUAGCGGCAUGCUUAACACAUGCAAGUCGAACGGCAGCGCGGGUAGCUUGCUACCUGGCGGCGAGUGGCGGACGGGUGAGUAAUGCGUAGGAAUCUACCUUAUAGUGGGGGAUAACUCGGGGAAACUCGGGCUAAUACCGCAUAAUCUCUAAGGAGCAAAGCGGGGGACCUUCGGGCCUCGUGCUGUAAGAUGAGCCUACGUCGGAUUAGCUAGUUGGUGGGGUAAUGGCCUACCAAGGCGACGAUCCGUAGCUGGUCUGAGAGGACGAUCAGCCACACUGGGACUGAGACACGGCCCAGACUCCUACGGGAGGCAGCAGUGGGGAAUAUUGGACAAUGGGGGAAACCCUGAUCCAGCAAUGCCGCGUGUGUGAAGAAGGCCUUCGGGUUGUAAAGCACUUUCAGUGGGGAAGAAAGAACCAAAAUUAAUACUUUUGGGUGUUGACGUUACCCACAGAAGAAGCACUGGCUAACUCUGUGCCAGCCGCCGCUGUAA